rnacentral:lncRNA from 1 species
UACUUUCUUUCUUUUUUUCUUUUUUUCUUUUUGUCCUUUUUAGGGCCAGCCCCACAGCAUAUGGAGGUUCCUAGGCUAGGGGUUGAAUCGGGGCUGCAGCUGCCAGCUUACACCACAUCCACAGCAACACCAGAUCUGAGCCGCGUCUGCAACCUAUGCCACAGCUCAUGGCAAUCCCGGAUCCUUACCCACUGAGGGAGGCCAGGGAUCAAACCUACGUCCUCAUGGAUACUAGUUGGGUUCAUUACUGUUGAACCAUGAUAGGAAGGAACUCCCAACCUCUGACUACUUUCAACUCCUAAUCAACAGACUUGGUUCUGGGGAGUCACUCUGUGCCUUGAACCCUGUCUCUUACCCCCAGCGUUGUCUGUUUAGAUAUCUGAGGUUUCUAGAAGUCUUGCCGGAGGAUGAAUGGGGUGUCGCUGGAGCAGGUGUCAUGUGUAAGUAAUCCUGUUCUCACCGUAUUUGAAUGUGAACUUCAUCCUGGGCUACACGCUGCUGGAUAAUAAAUCUCGGGGCCUGACACUUGUGGAGGUCUGAGGGAAUGAAGCUGCUGCAAGAUAAAAAGUGUUUCGUGCAAAGAGAUGAACCAAUGUCAGAAUAAAAAGUUCAUCAACGAAUAUGUUAGAGGCAAAAAAAAAAAAAUCUGUCCAAACAAACAGGCUUCAUGGCUGUGUACAGUGAAAGCAAUUUUUAAAAAGCACCAACCACUCUCUUUUUCUCCCUGUUUUUCAGUGCAUGUACUAGAUUUAUCAUUCCAGUGGCAUAUCUACAUGGAUUGCAGAGUGUUCUUUGCUUCAUCUUUCCAAAGGAUUUCAGUUAUUCAGAUUUAAAAUAACCAGGGAAUUCAAAAGGAGUAAAAAAUAUUCCAAAAACGAUGUGUGUGAUAAUCUUAAAACAGAAAGCCAUAACUUGUAUGGCUCCCUUUAUUUUUAUGAAAUGCUUUUCUAUACAUUAGUUCAUCUUUAUCAUGGGCAUCAAAGGAAGGUCCAAUAAGGUGUGAAGAGCAUGAGACUAGUUCAGGUCUGUGCAGAUUGGAUUACACACCCCUUCUUUCUAAGUUUUAAUUUUCACAUGGCAACCAAACAUUUCAUGAGUCUACAGGAAAACAAAAUAAACUCAUUAUGAGGAAAACACUACAUUCCUCCUUAUAAAACUCCCUUAGAAAAAUUGUUCUUUUCCAAAUAUUGGCUCUGGAAAAUUUCCUUCAAGACUGAUGAAGUCUCAUUUCUUUCAGGUACCCCCACCCUAUACGGACCCCUUUCCCAUUGUUUGGACAUGCAUCCUUCCUUCUGCUCCAGAUGCACCCUCCUUGGCCAGCAUCCCGGCACUGCCACUUUCUAUCUCUCUGCCUUUGGACCACAAGCUCCUGGAGGGCAAUGCCAAUGUCUUGUUUUAUCUCCUCUGUUCUUACUCAGCACAGGGCAAGGCACAUGGAAAGGAUUUGGUAUGUUCGGAAUGAAUGGAAAAUCCACAGGCAACAGGUACCUUAUGGAAAGUGUGAGAGUGAACUGAAUACCUGCUGUAAAGAAUAUUCUGAAGCAAUAAGAUGAAUAUAGCUUUUGUCGUUUAUGAAGUCAAAUUCAAACGGGACAGAGGAGAGGAGGCAGGAGAAAGAGGCUCCUGUUGGGAAAAGGACAAUUACAAGGACUUCCAGUGUAGGGAAGCUGGGUGGACACAAGCUCCAACGGACUUAACCCGCUCUUCCAGCUUCAGAAAUCCUGCGGAUAGACAGCUAUGAAGUAGAAUGAGCAGACAGUGCUGAGUCAAUGCCAGUUAUCAGAAAGCAAAUGAAUGGCUUCGUUCUGACGUCACAUACCCAGGCAGGCAGUUAAAGGUCAUAGUAAAGCCUCUUCUCCAAGUCCUGUGAAGUGCUAGAGUAUGAACCAGCACUUUCAGUCCACAUGUAAACUGGGAGAAGCUUGUACCUUUAAGAAAAUCAGUCAUGUUUCACCUCCAAACCUUGUGGUUCUGGGAAGAGCCCUAGAGCAUUCUGGUGGCUCCAAAUGAAAGUAAAUCAACCAAAAGAAAGUAAAUACAAUUAAAAUCUUUGCUAUGAUUGAGGAACAUCAUUUGUAACUCUCAGGAGACUGCACCUAAUAACAGAUAUCUAUAUGUUAUGUUGUAACAUUAACUGAUUUUUUGUUUGUUUUUUUGCUUUUUAGGGCCACACCCAUGGCACAUGGAGGUUCCCAGGCUAGGGACCGAAAAGGAGCUAUAGCUGCUGGCCUACACCACAGCCACAGCAACAUAGGAUCCGAGCCACAUCUGCACCCUACACCACAGCUCACUGGCAAUGUGGGAUCCUUAAGCCACUGAGCGAGGCCAGGGAUCGAACCUGCGUCCUCAUGGAUGCUAGUCAGAUUCGUUAGCUGCUGAGCCAUGAUGGAAAUGCCCUGUAACAUUAACUGAUUUUUAAAGCAAUACUAUAUACAUGCUAUUCCACAUUUUAUAUUCUAGUAGUGGGAAAGUGAAGGUACAAUCCAAAUAAGAAAAAGUCAUGAAAACACGACAUAAAAGAAGAUAAUUAAUUAGCAUGAACAUAAUGAAGUUUGUUUUAAACAACAAAUAGAACCAAAGCAAACAGGAAACACAAAUAUCAGUGACAUUAAACACCAAAAAGAAAGAGGGGUAGGUUAACCCUCUGUGACGGGCUUACUGCUGGCUGAGGCAGGAAGAGGUUUAAAGGAGAUUAAGAAAGAUAAACAAGAAGCAGUCUGUUUAGCUUCUCUUUAUUUGGCUGCAUGCAUCCAGCCAGGCAGAAGGUCUGUUUUUGAACUACUGGGCUCACGUACCUCCAACAAAGCCAGGAGGACAGGCGACCAGGCCAUGCUUCCUCUAGAACCCGAUGGAUGGAGGGCCCCGGACCCCACUAUUCCUGCCCCACCCCCACCAGUGAACACGGAAGGCAAAUCACCACCAUCAGACUCAUCUGAUGGUCUUGGAUCUUCUACCUGCGUAUAUAAAAAAUCAAUCUACAGACAAAAAUUUUUUGGACCUGUUAUCUUGACUAAGCGCUGUUUAUUCUCAAAAUCAUGGAACUUCAGAGAUUGGACAUUAAAGGUCCCCUGUCCAUCCAUCGCCUCACCAUCUGGCCUAUUAUCACCUCUCCUGACAAGGACCUCCUUUCUUCCUGAAGGAGUUGUUACCAUCCUUGAGCAGCUCUGAUUACUAGCAAAGUUCUUCCUUAGAUUGAGCUAAAAUUUGUCUUUCUGAAAUAGUCACCUCUGGCCCCUGGGGAGAGAAUAAAUCUCAACCAUCUACAAUAUGAGGACCUUUCAAAUAUUAGAAAAUGCUGAGUCUUCUCUACUUCAGGCUAAAUAUACUUAGUUCUUUCAUCCUUUCAUCAUAUGAUUCUAAGCUUUCUCACCGUCAUGGUUACUUUUCUCUGAGCUCAAUCCAGUUUUUCUAGCUCUCUCUUAAAGUGCGGUAUUUACCGGACAUACGCCCCAUAAUGUGGUUUGACAAGCACCAGGCACAGAGACUCAUCCCACCUUUUGAAGAGUCCCCUACACUUCCAUCAGGCAGCUACAGACCAAAAGGAGUUCUUGCUACAUCUGCUCAGCAUCUCUGAUGGGUCAGGCACUUUUCAGGCAUUGAGUGAAAUUCCGAGAACAAGCCUAUGUGUAGGGACUGCCAUCAUUCCUAUUUUACACCUAAGGGCCCGAAGACAGAGAGAGGCUAAGUAACGUAUUUAAAGUCACAUGGUCACUGGCAAACCUGACAUUGAUUUGCUGAUACACUUCAUGUUGUUAGAUUCUGUUCAACAUUCCAAACUGUGAAGUCCUUCCUUCAAUGUACUGUAUUCAUUAUUCUUCCCAGCCCCGUGCCAUGUCCAGCUUGAUAAAUGUGCCCUUUAUAACUUUAUCCAAGUCAUUCAUAAAAUGGACCAGCACAGAACUAUGGCUGAGUUGCUUAACGACUCUUGGCUCCUCUUUUUUUUUUCAAUGCCAGUGGAAAUUAUUCCACUUGGUCAGAUUAGCAGAGUUUAUUUAAAAAAUGAAUUCAUUGUAAGUUCCUUGAAUGCUUGUCACAUAUUUCUCUGCAUCCCACACAGCUAGUUCAUGCUCAGGAAAAGCCAUUGAAAGAAGUACUGUGUUCUGCUAUACGAAGCCCUAGGGAUGGUUCCAGGGGGUGGCACAUGCCUUGCCUGCAGUUUCAGGGUCACAUGCCAACAGUUUCUCCCUGACGGACUGUUCCGUCAUCAUCCCGGCCUCACUCUGGUGGCUCUUCUGUGCCUUCCACAAGCCAGUAACAGUGGUGAACAAAGGCAAGAUAUAAUGCUUUGGCGACAAGGGAGCUAAAGGGACACUGAGAAUUUUAGGAAAUGAACCACGCUUAUGAUUGAAUGUAUCAUCCCUGGAUGAGAAGUCAGGUCAUCUGUAAUAAAGUCCUAACAAGAAGUUAUCUGUCCACCGUGACAAGAUUGGAAUCUGGAAGCUGGAGUAAAAAUAAAGAGGUUUGAGGUGUACCCCUCACCUCUGAGGAUGCCAUUCUGCAUUACUCCUACCCCAGCUCUCAUAACAUAAUCGCCACAUGUCAAAGGGCAGCCCAGGACCUUGCUAUCAAGCAUCCAUCUCAGCGUGCCCUCGGUCUGCUGAUAUGGUAGGUCAGAUUGCGUCCCCAGAUACGCCUUCACAGGAAGAAUGGCUCUGAUUUUACCUUGAAAAGUCUCGUCUUCUGACACUCACGUUAUUAGAGUUUCUACUACAGUUUAUAUAAAAUAGCUUGAUGUACCUUGGACUAAAGAGUCCUAAAAAUAGUUUUGACUUAAGAACGAGCAACGAUACUAAAUAAAUGUCAGAAACAGGGUUAACCGACAGGCGAGCGCUGUCUCAUUGAAUAGUCAGAACGACUUUCUGAAAACUAUACUAAAAUUAUUCCCAGUUUACAGAUAGGUAAACUGAGACAGAGAGGUUACUUUGCUUCUAAUGAGCUGAGUGCUAAAGCUUGACUCUAGCACUGCUGGACACUUAUUCUCUUAAAUGUGUUAAGGUCUCCCAAGAAGAGACACCAAGAUGGUAUUAAAUGUGUCAAGAUUUUUUUAAAAAGGGAAAAUACUUGUGUGAGAGAAAAUGGGGAGAGAAGCCAUGUAAGGCACCCAGAGUGGAGGUGAGAUAGGGAUGGUUGGUGAGAGGGUCUUAGGCUCACAGUCUGGGGGGGCCCUGGGAGCAAAACCAGCUGUCGGAGGAGCCCCAUGCUGCCUAGCUCGGGUCUGCUUUCGUCUGUGGUUGACUGGGAGCCACCAUGACAGCAAGGCCCCUGCAGACAAGCAUCGGAUGAGACUGGAGAGCAGCAGCAGAGUUCCAGGACAGCCAGGCACAGGCUCACUGCCGUACGCUGCCUCCACAAGGCCUCAGGGGAGAGGCCCUCAUCUGGCCUUAAAGUGUGAGAUGUCCCAUCAGAAGGGUUUUCAUUGUCCACGAAGACGGUUCAACACCCACAGCCUGAGUUUCGGGAAUCACUAAUCCUCAGGCCGCAGAAGCAGGGACAUGGCCCCUGGAAGUCAGGGGUCCAGUUUCCAUCAGAAGCUGAGCGGGACCCCGCACCUGGGAAGGAGGACGGAAUCCUUUCCUACAGCAUCCAGAACAGACUCACUGCGGGUAAACCCCUCUGCUUUGGAAGCAUGUUCUUCUGCAGACGGUUUCAUGGAUUUUCUCUAAAGCCUUUGGGAGAGGGGUUUCUUGCGGCCACAUUCCAGAAAGUUCCCCAAAAGGAUGUGCUAUGCCUGGGUCUCAGGAAAACAAGCAGGGAAGUUCCAGGGAUGGCUCCUGGCUGGGCAGGUGCUGCGAACAUACUGGCUUUCACUCUUCCCUUCUUGUAUUUUCCUCUAAUUUUAAUAAUUGAUUUUCCUAAUCAGGGCAACUAAUGCUCUCCCAUAAAUUAAAGCGGGGCAGACCCAUGCCUUUAUUUUGUUGAAACCCGAGGAGAGCCGGCCUUGUUUGCUCACUCUGGCCGCUGUCCUGCAUGUACCCCUCAGGGCUGGGUCAGGUACCAUUCCGUCCACCUUCUGAGCUCUGGCUCCAGCUUAGGCGGUGCACACGGGGCACCCAAUUGUGCCUUGUGAGUGUGCCUACACACGUACACCCACUCAUACAUUUAGAAAUACACAUAACGUACGUGUGUGUGUGUGUGUGUGUGUGUGUGUGUGUGUGUGUAUAUCUGCCACAACUGAAGAUGAAGCCCCCCUUCUCUCUGGCAGAUGUGGGACCACCAGGCAAUUCAUCUGUCCUUUCUAGCCCAUGACCUCCCGACCUCUCUGUGGCUUGCCUGGUGGCCACCCUCAGACCCCAGGACAUCACCCCUGCCUGGCGCCUCACACCUCCCAGGCGCCCAGUGACUUCUUUCUCUUUUCCUCUUUUUGUUUCCUCCUUUCUUGCUUCACCCUGAGAUAUGGAUGUUCCCAAGGGUUUACCCUUGGCUGGCUCUCCUCGCCCUGUGUGCAUUGUCGCUGGAGGACUCCUCCCUGCUAGAAACCUUAGGCAGCCUUGGCUCCCCCUUAUUUUUUGCCAUGCACCUCUGACUUUGUCCUACCAUCAAAAUUCCAACCACUCUGCCACACAAUAGCCUCCCUAUCACUACUCCACUGGCUUAAGG